rnacentral:piRNA from 1 species
UACAAAAAGCUUAGUAGGGUAUCAAAUGC